GAUGAACGCUAGCGGCAGGCUUAAUACAUGCAAGUCGAGGGGCAGCAGGUCCCGCAGCAAUGCGGGAUGCUGGCGACCGGCAAACGGGUGCGGAACACGUACAGAACCUUCCUUUAAGUGGGGAAUAGCCCGGGGAAACCCGGAUUAAUACCCCGUAACAUAAUGAAGCGGCAUCACUUUAUUAUUAUAGCAGCAAUGCGCUUGAAGAUGGCUGUGCGGCUGAUUAGGUAGUUGGCGGGGUAACGGCCACCAAGCCUACGAUCAGUAACUGGUGUGAGAGCACGACCAGUCACACGGGCACUGAGACACGGGCCCGACUCCUACGGGAGGCAGCAGUAAGGAAUAUUGGGCAAUGGACACAAGUCUGACCCAGCCAUGCCGCGUGGAGGAUGAAGGUCCUCUGGAUUGUAAACUUCUUUUAUCUGGGAAGAAAUCUAUUUUUUCUAAAGUAGUUGACGGUACCAGAUGAAUAAGCACCGGCUAACUCCGUGCCAGCCGCCGCGGUAA
rnacentral:rRNA from 1 species